UACGGAGGGAGCUAGCGUUGUUCGGAAUUACUGGGCGUAAAGAGCGCGCAGGCGGUCGUUCAAGUCGAGUGUGAAAGCCCCCGGCUCAACUGGGGAGGGUCACGCGAUACUGAUCGACUCGAAGGCAGGAGAGGGUAGUGGAAUUCCCGGUGUAGUGGUGAAAUGCGUAGAUAUCGGGAGGAACACCAGUGGCGAAGGCGACUACCUGGCCUGUUUCUUGACGCUGAGGCGCGAAAGCUAGGGGAGCAAACGGG
rnacentral:rRNA from 1 species